UAUCCACGUCAGAUUUGACAGUUCACACAGAAAUUCCUAACAACAGGCUUGGGGCCGAGGUGGACUUCAUCCAGCUGGACUUGUCAACACGGCCCAUCUGGUGGUCUCUGGCAGCUACCAUGACUUUCUGCAGCCCUCUCCAUACAGCCUAUGACUAAAGACCAGUCAGCAGCGGCUCCCUGACUAAAAGCACGAGCAGAAAGGCUCCCAGCCUCCGGCAGGUAAACAGGUCAGCUUCAAGUAAUCCCUCUUUUCCAGAAGCUGUCCAACUGACUCUUCCACCCACGGUCCUGGUCCACGGCCACUUCUCUCCCUUCAGUAUCAAUUUUGUGGACUAAGCCUACAGAGCAUAAAAUACGGACUAA